rnacentral:lncRNA from 1 species
UUGUUAAUAAUUUUAUUUAUUAUUCUCAUUCAUCGUUUACGGGUACAAGCGUAUAUUAUAGUUUGACUAUAAAUUAUUUAAGACAGUGUUUCCACGAUUCGUCUGUAGAACGCAAAAGGCAGCAAGAACUAAAGGCUGUCUUGGAGAGAAAUGUCCACAAUUGCCAAAUGUCGAACCAUCAUGUUUAUUCAUGGUCGCAAAAAUAUUGCAGUUUUAUUGAAAAUAUCCCUUUUAAAUUGCUGCCUUCUAAAACAAGUUGACUGUAGACAAAAAGCAUGGGUCGUUGCAACCUCGUACCCAGAGCUUCUAACAUAGAUAUGGCUUCUAAGCGCAGAAGCCCUGGGAUCGCCUUUGAGGCGGAUUUCCAUUCAGUGCAAAAUGUUGCGCGAUCGACGUUUUGCGAUCGUUUUCUUUUGAAAUACAUGCGUGUACAAACAGUCAAGCGGAACAAAUCUCAUUAGCUGUAGUAGACUGCAUACAUUUCAAAAGAAAGCGAUCGCAAAAAAUCGAUCGUGCGACAUUUUGCACUGAAUGAAAUCCGCCUUUAGCUACGACCCCGACCUCGUAUGGACGAGACCAAGGCUUUUAAGAUGGCGGCUGUUUUCCAGGAUCGUUAAAACACCAAAGAAUCAACAAUCAUGCACUUAUAACAAUCUUAAACCUUACACUGAACCUAACAUUAACAAUAAACUAAAGCGAACGCUGCAUGUUUUAAAUCUUGAACUCCCUUUCGUCCAUCCUUUUUAGGGACCGGUCAUUAUUUAUGGCGGGGGGUGGCACCGAAGAGAAAAGGGUUGGGUAAACAAAAUUUUGAGUAAGUAAAAGGUUGGGUAAAUGGAAAACAAAACAACUCAAGGGUUGGGUAAUGUCAUUUCAAAAACAUGACUCACUGUCAAAAUAUUGUUGAUUGAAAAGCAAUUUCAACAGUCAUUUGUCAAUACAAUAUGUGAAUCAAUCACAGUCACUAUCUUGAUCAUUUUGACAAAACAAAUGGUGUUUCCAAAGAAAUUACAUGUGCAGACAACAUGAAAUUUUAGACUGCAGAAAAUUUCACAAGCCGUUAUCAAACUCAUGUCACAGAAGUGGUAAAGGACAUGUGUGACAACUGAAUGGUAUCUUUUUGUAACGUUUUUGGCCAGGGGUGGGUAAUUAUUUUUUAAUUGAUAUUUGUGGUUGGGUAAUCAAAUUUUUGUCUUUUUAAUAGUUGGGUCAGCAAAAUUUUUGCCACGAAAAACAUUUCUCUUCGGUGCCACCCCCCACCAUAAAUAAUGACCGGUCCCUUAGCCAUUAGCGAAAUUCGGAAAGCAAUUAUUUCUAUCAGCCUUUCUUACUGCCUUCAUGCACUGUAUUAUAUAUUACAUCAUCAUUACAUUACAAUUACAUAAUAUUUUUACAGCUAAAACCAUCUUUGUUAAUUAUGUCACUUAAUAUAUAACGUCACUUAAAGAACGUCAAAGACAAUACUAAUUCUAUGAAUUUUCAUGCAAAAUGCUACAAUCAGUGACAAAAGGUUUUUCUGGACAGUGAUAUAAUAUAGACAUAUCUGCCAAUUUCCAAAUACUGUUCAGCAUAAUAGCACUAUCCUUCCCUACCCCCACCCUAAACAAUGUCGGGUCGCUGGCAAGGAACAUUUUGCGCAGGUAUUUCCACACACAACAUUGAACGGGGGGUCGAUAAUGUCGUAAACGUACGCUCUUUUGCCAUUUUGUCCAAAGUGUUUUGUCACUGAUUGUAUUAGUAAUUAACCUAUAGUAUAGCAUGUUUAUAGUUCUAUUUAACUUAAUAAUGUAUUUUUAUAUUUUCUAAUCUACAGGGACCGGUUGUAUAAAUACGGAAAUCGCUGCAUAUAUGAAAUUCAUUCAAAACUUUUAGAACUCAUACAUGCAUACAUAUAGCCAUUUCAAAUAAGGAAAAAUUGUUAGGCCUAUAGCGUUUGGGUAAAUUUUAAUAUUUUGUUAUGGUCAUGGAUGGCGCUUCUUUUUUCGAAAAAAUCCAACUCUGUAGUUAUUAUUUUUCUUGUCGGACUUUCUUUGUCUUUUAAAUUAAACAUAUAGGAAUUGUCGAAAAAUUGGGUCUAAAUCGGAGAUCUUCCAUUUUCUAGUAAACUGUAGGGAGCCACCUCUUGAGUAUUUUUGUAACGGUUGAAAGAAUCACGAAAAUAUAAAAUUCCAGUUUCGCCACAAUUGAUUUACAUAAACCAUAGCACAUGAUUCGAAAUCACAUAUAUUUCGAAUGUUAGGACAAUCGUGCAAAAGCUAUAAAAGAUUCUUAGAAUUGUCUCAAACUUCGAUAAUGCGAACGAAUUUAUUGCAAAUUUGAAUAAAUGAAAUCCCCAAACCAGGAUUUAAUAGCAACAAGCAAUCGCGCAAAAGUUCACAUGCAGACCUUACUUUGCCGUCAGUAAUGUUAUGUGCAUAACACAGGCUAUAUAUAGUUAACUGUAACUACCAUUUUUACACAACCGGACCCAGUGCGGGUAUAGUAUUCGGGGAAAACCGGGCUGCCCGGGAAAAAACCCCAAUAAUAAUCAUUAUCACCAAUGAGUUAAUCAAAUAAACAAUCAAGCACUUAUUUAACCAAUCGAUACAAUAAUCAAUAAAACAAAAAUCGCCAAUCACUAGACUGAUGAUUCUCGUUAAGCUCGAGUCUGACUCGGGCUAAAAACAUUAUUUAUGAUUGCGAAUUAACAUCAAUUCUAUUGUUAUAAAAUUUAAUGUUCUGCAUGCAUGGGUUCACCGGAUAGCAUUAUCCACCGGAUAUAGAGAUUCUUUCAAGCUUGCUAAAAUUGUACGCUGAUUGGUAUAACCUGUAUUAAACUUUAGCAUUUACAAUUUAAAGUUUCUUUCUAUUAAUUAUGACGUCCAUAUAUCUGUAAUUUUAUAGAUUUUUUGUAACGGUUAAAAAAGCAUUUUUGUAACGGUUAAAAAAACUAUCUGGUGCAUGGAUAGCGCUAUCCGGCAUAAUAUUCGUAAAAUCAACCCCUUGCAUCAUUUCCAUGAUCAUGUAUAUAUAUAGGAUACAAUAUCCUAACAAACAGGUCGCAAUUUUGUCUGCGCACGCGUUAUUAAUUACAUGCAAUAUAUAAGGGGUUUGGUUGGGGUCAUGUUAUACAGUCGAUUUCGCAAAACGUUUACCAAUGUUCCGAACAGUCAUCAUUCAGAAGUUCGCAAAAUUCGUUUUGAAGUUCAAAAGUUCAGUAUUGAAAUUCGCAAGCCGGUCUGUAAGCAUAGCCUCUAAUUGGUCCAUGAGUUGCAAGAAGCCAAUCAAAUACUUCGUUUACAAACAUGUUUUUGAAUUUACGAACUACGUAACUUUAAACUUUCGAACUUCGCAUUAACGAAUUUGCGAAGUUCGAAACGAAAUUAGGAAUAUUUUGGCAAACGCAAUAUGUGAAAUCGACUGCAACUAUAUGCAAAUUUAGCUCAACUUUGGGGGCAGAGUUCGAGCUUAUGGACCAUAUACUAUUAUACAUUUGACAAAAAGGCAACUACAUAGAAUUAUACUUACCUAACAGUUUAAAAAGGCUAUCGCUACAUAGAAUUCGUUUUAAAAUUACGAUGACAAAAUUCCGACCUGUUUUCAAAUAAGUUAUAAUUACUACAACUCAAGCACAUCAGAACAAACUGGCCACCAUCCCUCGUCACCACCAAUUUCAUUAAGAGUCUUCAGCAGGUUGUCAAUUUUAGGUCUCUUGCUCUUUCGCUAUAAUUAAUAAAGAAUCUCGGUUAAUUUGAGAUUACAUCAGAGCUGCUCCCAUUGGUUCAUUAUCGUUCUCUAUUAAUCGUCAUCAACCAUUGUUAAUCGUAUUGAAUAUCUAUAGACGCCAGGGGCCG